GAUGAACGCCGGCGGCGUGCCUAAUACAUGCAAGUCGAGCGAAUGGAUUAAGAGCUUGCUCUUAUGAAGUUAGCGGCGGACGGGUGAGUAACACGUGGGUAACCUGCCCAUAAGACUGGGAUAACUCCGGGAAACCGGGGCUAAUACCGGAUAACAUUUUGAACCGCAUGGUUCGAAAUUGAAAGGCGGCUUCGGCUGUCACUUAUGGAUGGACCCGCGUCGCAUUAGCUAGUUGGUGAGGUAACGGCUCACCAAAGCAACGAUGCGUAGCCGGCCUGUGAGGGUGAGCGGCCACACUGGGACUGCGACACGGCCCAGACUCCUACGGGAGGCAGCAGUAGGGAAUCUUCCGCAAUGGACGAAAGUCUGACGGAGCAACGCCGCGUGAGUGAUGAAGGCUUUCGGGUCGUAAAACUCUGUUGUUAGGGAAGAACAAGUGCUAGUUGAAUAAGCUGGCACCUUGACGGUACCUAACCAGAAAGCCACGGCUAACUACGUGCCAGCAGCCGCGGUAA
rnacentral:rRNA from 1 species